UUACAAUGGCAGGUACAGAGGGAUGCUACCGGGCGAACCGGAUGCGGAUCUCGAAAGCCUGUCCCAGUUCGGACUGGAGUCUGCAACCCGACUCCACGAAGUUGGAUUCGCUAGUAAUCGCGCAUCAGCCAUGGCGCGGUGAAUACGUUCCCGGGCCUUGUACACACCGCCCGUCAAGCCAUGGGAGCCGGGGGCGCCUGAAGUCCGGGACCGCGAGGACCGGCCUAGGGCGAAACUGGUAACUGGGGCUAAGUCGUAACAAGGUACC
rnacentral:rRNA from 1 species